UACGUAGGAGGCAAGCGUUGUCCGGAUUUAUUGGGUUUAAAGGGUGCGUAGGCGGUCUAUUAAGUCAGUUGUGAAAUACGGCAGCUCAACUGUCGAGGUGCAAUUGAUACUGAUGGACUUGAGUACUGAUGAGGUAAGCGGAAUGGACGGUGUAGCGGUGAAAUGCUUAGAUAUCGUCCAGAACACCGAUAGCGAAGGCAGCUUACUAAGGAGUAACUGACGCUGAGGCACGAAAGUGUGGGGAGCAAACAGG
rnacentral:rRNA from 1 species